rnacentral:rRNA from 1 species
GAUGAACGCUGGCGGCGUGCCUAAUACAUGCGAGUCGAGCGAACAGACGAGGAGCUUGCUCCUCUGACGUUAGCGGCGGACGGGUGAGUAACACGUGGAUAACCUACCUAUAAGACUGGGAUAACUUCGGGAAACCGGAGCUAAUACAGGAUAAUAUAUUGAACCGCAUGGUUCAAUAGUGAAAGACGGUUUUGCUGUCACUUAUAGAUGGAUCCGCGCCGCAUUAGCUAGUUGGUAAGGUAACGGCUUACCAAGGCAACGAUGCGUAGCCGACCUGAGAGGGUGAUCGGCCACACUGGAACUGAGACACGGUCCAGACUCCUACGGGAGGCAGCAGUAGGGAAUCUUCCGCAAUGGGCGAAAGCCUGACGGAGCAACGCCGCGUGAGUGAUGAAGGUCUUCGGAUCGUAAAACUCUGUUAUUAGGGAAGAACAAAUGUGUAAGUAACUAUGCACGUCUUGACGGUACCUAAUCAGAAAGCCACGGCUAACUACGUG